AGUGAACGCUGGCGGUAGGCCUAACACAUGCAAGUCGAACGGCAGCACAGGAGAGCUUGCUCUCUGGGUGGCGAGUGGCGGACGGGUGAGGAAUACAUCGGAAUCUACUUUUUCGUGGGGGACAACGUAGGGAAACUUACGCUAAUACCGCAUACGACCUACGGGUGAAAGCAGGGGACCUUCGGGCCUUGCGCGGUUGAAUGAGCCGAUGUCGAAUUAGCCAGUUGGCGGGGUAAAGGCCCACCAAGGCGACGAUCCGUAGCUGGGCUGAGAGGAUGAUCAGCCACACUGGAACUGAGACACGGUCCAGACUCCUACGGGAGGCAGCAGUGGGGAAUAUUGGAAAAUGGGCGCAAGCCUGAUCCAGCCAUACCGCGUGGGUGAAGAAGGCCUUCGGGUUGUAAAGCCCUUUUGUUGGGAAAGAAAUCCAGCUGGCUAAUACCCGGUUGGGAUGACGGUACCGUAAGAAUAAGCACCGGCUAACUACGUGCCAGCAGCCGCCGUAA
rnacentral:rRNA from 1 species